rnacentral:rRNA from 1 species
UCAGUCCGUCGUGUUGCAGCUGCCGUAGGGUGCACUUGACAUCAUGCUGGCUCAAAUCGUUCGAAACAAGCCAUCUCUGGAGAACUUUCGCGUG